CGUGACCUACGGGAGGCAGCAGUGGGGAAUAUUGCACAAUGGGGGGAACCCUGAUGCAGCGACGCCGCGUGGGCGAGGAAGUAUUUCGGUAUGUAAAGCCCUAUCGGCAGGGAAGAAGAAAUGACGGUACCUGAAUAAGAAGCACCGGCUAAAUACGUGCCAGCAGCCGCGGUAAUACGUAUGGUGCAAGCGUUAUCCGGAUUUACUGGGCGUAAAGGGAGCGCAGGCGGCGCGCCAAGUCUGCUUUGAAACCCCGGGGCUCAACCCCGGGCAUGGAUUGGUAACUGGCGGGCUGGA
rnacentral:rRNA from 1 species